rnacentral:rRNA from 1 species
AUACGUAGGGGGCGAGCGUUGUCCGGAAUGAUUGGGCGUAAAGGGCGCGUAGGCGGCCCGGUAAGUCUGGAGUGAAAGUCCUGUUUUUAAGAUGGGAAUUGCUUUGGAUACUGUCGGGCUUGAGUGCAGGAGAGGUAAGUGGAAUUCCCAGUGUAGCGGUGAAAUGCGUAUAGAUUGGGAGGAACACCAGUGGCGAAGGCGACUUACUGGACUGUAACUUACGCUGAGGCGCGAAAGUGUGGGGAGCAAACAGGAUUAGAUACCCUGGUAGUCCACACUGUAAACGAUUAAUGCUAGGUGUAGGGGGUAUCGACCCCUUCUGUGCCGCAGGCAACACAAUAAGCAUUCCGCCUGGGGAGUACGGCCGCAAGGUUGAAACUCAAAUGAAUUGACGGGG